rnacentral:rRNA from 1 species
UGGGGAAUAUUGGGCAAUGGGCGAAAGCCUGACCCAGCGACGCCGCGUGGGCGAUGAAGGCCUUCGGGUUGUAAAGCCCUUUCGUGCGGAAAGAACAGUCUUACGGUUAAUACCCGUAGGAUUUGACGGUACCGCAGGAAGAAGCACCGGCUAACUCCGUGCCAGCAGCCGCGGUAAUACGGAGGGUGCGAGCGUUGUUCGGAAUUAUUGGGCGUAAAGGGCGCGUAGGCGGUAAUGAAAGUCAGAUGUGAAAUACUUCGGCUCAACUGAAUAACUGCAUCCGAAACUUCAGAACUAGAGUACAGAAGAGGGAAAGGGAAUUCCCGGUGGAGAGGUGAAAUUCGUAGAUAUCGGGAGGAACACCAGUGGCGAAGGCGGUUUCCUGGUCUGAUACUGACGCUGAGGCGCGAAAGUGUGGGGAGCAAACA